GCCUGCUCUGCCCCCAGCUCGGCUGCCGUCCCCCACCUGGCUCAGGUGGUCUCCUCCACACUGCCUCUCCCAACAUCUCUGGCUCUGCAGUGCAUCUUUGGGCCAGUGAUUAUCCUAGCACUCUGGAGGCCAGAAGUCUAAGGAGUUUCCCUGGGCCAAAAUCAAGGUGUGGGCAGAGCUGCUUCCUUCUGAAGGCUUCGGGGAGAAUUGGUUCCGAUGAGGUUUUCUUGCUUCCGGAGGCUGCGGCCUUCCUUGCCUGGGGGCCCCUUCCAUUUUCAAAACCAGCACCCAGCAGGUUUAGUCUCUCUCACCCCUCCCUCCUGUGAAAACGCUUGUGAUUAUGUUGGACCCACCCAGAUAAUCCAGGAGAACCUCACACUCAAGGCCAGCUGAUGAGUAACCUGAUUCCACCUGUGACCUCAACUCCCUGUAAGCCGUGUAACCAAACAUGCUCACAGGUUCUAGGGAUCAGGACAGGGCUGUCUUGGGGGUUGUUACUCUACUGACCGCACCAACAUUCACCCCUCCCUAUCAGGACAUUUCUCUUUUGCAGCCAGUAGUCUUAAAAAAUGGCUGAAGAGCAGAGCUUUGAAUCUCGAUGAUCUUCUAGGUCUCUCAGCACCUGCUACGUACACUGAGCUCAGCGAUCCCCUCAAAAUCUUCCAUCUAAUCCAACAGGCCCAUGCUGCACACACACACAGGCGGGGUCCCAGCAGGUACAGGAGAAGAAGACAGCCCACCUGCCUCUGGGGGGCCGUGAGUCAGAGCCCUGGGUGUGAACCAUGCUCAGAUCCCUACCAUGGGCAAAGGCCGCCACCCUAUGCCCCGCUUGUUUGUCUUCAGAGUGGUGGUGACAACCAUGUGUGCCAGGCCGAGCUGUCAAAAGCAUCAGGUGAGAACACACCCACAGGCUGCCGGGCCAGACAGCGGUUUUGGAAAUGUUUCUAUUUCCCUAUAGUUUAUGAAUCCGGUUGGGAAGGGCCUUUGGGUGGUCGAGUUCUGGUCCAGGGCGGUGGAAGAAGAGGUGAGCACCAGCCUUUGCAGCCUCCCCAGUUCAUCCUCCUCACGCCCGAUGAGGUUCAGAGAGGUUGGGUUGCUGCCUCCAACCACCCAGGCCACAGGUGGAGACUUGGAUUGGAAAGAGCACUGCUUCCCUCCAGCAUGCAGACACUGCUGGGUAAGGAGAUGAGAGCUUGCAGGAGCUCCAGGGUCCCGGGGCUGAAGGGUCUUUUUUCUUGUUCCUGGGAUGCACUCUAGUUACAGAAGUGAUGUUGUCAGCCUUUGCCCCACGCUCCCUCAUCACCUACUGGCUGGAUUCCCGG
rnacentral:lncRNA from 1 species